rnacentral:tRNA from 1 species
GCGCCGGUGGUGUAAGGCGUAACAUCGUUGCCCGGAGAGCAGAAGCUGCGAGUUCGAGUCCCUCCUGGCGCA